rnacentral:rRNA from 1 species
CAGUCGCCGCGGUAAUACGAAGGGUGCAAGCGUUAAUCGGAAUUACUGGGCGUAAAGCGUGCGUAGGCGGUAGUUAAGUCUGCUGUGAAAUCCCCGGGCUCAACCUGGGAAUGGCAGUGGAUACUGGCUCGCUAGAGUGUGUCAGAGGAUGGUGGAAUUCCCGGUGUAGCGGUGAAAUGCGUAGAGAUCGGGAGGAACAUCAGUGGCGAAGGCGGCCAUCUGGGACAACACUGACGCUGAGGCACGAAAGCGUGGGGAGCAAACAGGAUUAGAUACCCCUGUAGUCCCUGUCUCUUAUACA